GACAGGCCUCUGGCGACAUCACAGAGGUGGACCUUCAGCAACUUCACACUGAGGUGUGUUGCCUAGGAGCUGGGUUGUCUUCUCCGCAGAGCAGAGUCUUCUAACCUCCACCUCCCGCUGUGUCCUGUGUGCUGGUGGCUGGAGAAGGUUCUGAAGGCCAGAAUUCUAAAGUCAGUCCCACUGACUCAAGGUGGGAGCAGGGCAGGUACCUUCCCAGGCUCUGUAGGAGAAUGAGUGUCCUGGCCCUGGAGGCUUCCUGCACUCUUCAGCUUGUGCUGCCAUUCUUGAAUGACUCACGGUUCCUGCUUCCAUCACUACACUUUCCAUCGCUCUCCAUCACCUGCUCUGCUCUGAUACGGAUCUGGUCAUUGCAGCACAAGAAAGACGUCCUUGUCUGAUACUCCCCUUAUCCACACAAUUAGAAGUAAAUUAAAAGCAUCAAUUUCAAGUCACUGCUGUAGUUGUGGAAAGAUGCUGCACUGUUGCCACAGAGGUCCGUCCCCACAUGUGACACCCAGGAUUUGGUCCUGGCCUCACAGGACCCCAGGAUGACAGCUCACAAAGGGCUUGCCUGCUUAUUUACUUCCAACUCUUGAAAGCUUAAAGAAAUUGCUCCUGAUGGGUUGAGUGCCUUAUCUAGGGACACCCAGUUUGUGACAUAGCCAGGAGGAAAAUACAGUUUAGUUUGCUCUCACAGGUGAGUCACCAAAAACAUCCUAUAAAAAGACCUUUUGAGAAACUGUAACCCAGUUAAAGCUACUGAAAAAUUCUUGCCUUAAAGCCUCCAUAUUCAUUUUACUUGGCUUUCUGUGGGUUUUCUUUCCUGGGAGACAAGUCGUAUUAUUUGGAAACAGUUAAGUGGUACAGACUGAGUGUUUUGCUGUGUUAAUUUUAAUUAAAGAACAGUGUGCUAUCCAUCACACACUUUAAUCCCCUGCUGUGUUGUUUCUGUUAGUCAUUCAGGAAAACAACUGAGGUAUCAUUUAACCAUGGAAAAGUGCGUGUUUCAUUGAUGAAAAGCAUAAGUUUUAGUCCA